rnacentral:rRNA from 1 species
AGCGAACGCUGGCGGCAGGCCUAACACAUUCAAGUCGAACGAAGUCUUCGGACUUAGUGGCGGACGGGUGAGUAACACGUGGGAACGUGCCUUUAGGUUCGGAAUAACUCAGGGAAACUUGUGCUAAUACCGAAUGUGCCCUUCGGGGGAAAGAUUUAUCGCCUUUAGAGCGGCCCGCGUCUGAUUAGCUAGUUGGUGGGGUAAUGGCCCACCAAGGCUACGAUCAGUAGCUGGUCUGAGAGGAUGACCAGCCACAUUGGGACUGAGACACGGCCCAAACUCCUACGGGAGGCAGCAGUGGGGAAUCUUGCGCAAUGGGCGAAAGCCUGACGCAGCCAUGCCGCGUGGAUGAUGAAGGUCUUAGGAUUGUAAAAUCCUUUCACCGGUGAAGAUAAUGACUGUAGCCGGAGAAGAAGCCCCGGCCAACUUCGUGCCAGCAGCCGCCGAACAC